GGUGUAAUCCUAAUACAAUCCCUUGAGGAUGGGAUCCCACCUCCAAAUGCUCAUAUUCUGUAGCUACCUUGCCAGGGAACUCCUUGAAGGCAGGCUCUCUACUGGUUUUGCUCUAAACUGCAUCUUUGCCGUAGUGCCUAGAACACAGUAGAUGCUCAAGAAAUAUUUGUGGAAAGAAUAGGAAUUCAACUUGGUUAAGGAGUCAAGUUUUGGGGCCAACCUUACUUCAUCAGAUGCAAAUCAGUGACACAAAACAAAAAGGGACUUCAGGACUUCAAGUGGGCCAAGAGCCACAGCAGGGUCAUACGGCAGGAUAAUAAAUGUCCAGGAAGAAAGGAAAAAGGACAAUACUCCCGAGACCUGUCCCCUGGCCACUGCAUCCUUCCUGCACUACAGACAGUAACUGUCGGGGCUGUGUUGAACUCACUGCUGAAAGGGGCCACCUGCUAGACAGUAAAGGUCAAGAGAGGGUCCGGGGCAGUGUCUGGAGAAGAAACUCCCGGGACUCUGGGUGCAAAGUUAAUUAAAAAAACAAAACAAAACAAAAAUAAAACCAAAUCCAAGGAAACCCUCAGUCAGGUGUAUCUUGGGCCAGUUAUACACAUUUUCAUGCAAGGCUGUUUACAAAACACCGAACAACCAUCUCUUUAUUCCUGCUAGUAAAUGCUUAAGGGUCAGCUUUAUUAUCCCCCCCCCCACCAGUUAUGAUCUUCCAUAAGACAGAAACUGAAGGGCAAAGGGACGCAUCCCAUGAAACAAUUCAAUGGGCAUGCGUUUUCAACUUCUCCGCUCUUCAAAGUUCAUUGCCUCGGAGGCAGAAAUCCUGGUGUGUAUAGAUUUUUCUUUCCUUCCGGCCUGGCCUAUCGUAGAUCCUUGAUAAAUACACACUCAGAUGAUGAUACCACACAAGGAAGAUGUGGGCUUGGGCCUAAGACAACGCCCACCAAGGAUCAAGGAAGUAAAGGCUUUCUGGGUCAAGAGGGAUCUGGGUCAAGAGGGAUGCAUCGGCCUGGCCCCUACAGCACCUCUGGGAGGUCUCCUGGCAACGGCCUACGGUUAGGAAACCUGUCCAUCCCUCGACUCAACAAGCCUAUUACCCUCGUGGGGAUUCUCUGCAGGAGACCCACACCUAAGAGGACAGAGGUCAGUGGAAUCAGCCAGAAGAUUCCAAACAUGAGCUCACAUGCUCAGGCUUACUCUUGCGGGAGAGCCCUCUCAUCUGAAGUCAGGAACAGUUGUCCAAGGAGCUGCUGGUUCAGCCAGUCGUGCACAAGCACAAUCAGUCCUACAUGUUUUGCUUCAGGAUUUACAUUCAACGCCGGGUCUGAAGUGGUCAGAUAACAACGUUUACAGCGAUGUUUACAAAUGACAUGAAUCCUGGAGCAACCCGGCAGCGUUUGUUUAAAGACGUGAUGCCGCCUGCCUGCAUCCUUGGCUCAAGUCAACUGUUAGGAUUAGCGUGGGCCUACAGACGGGUCAUAAACAGAGAUCUUGGCUGAGCGGGAAGAUAUUUCUCCGCCACGUCUUCUUUUCUAGAAGGACAGUGGCAACAUUCUACAUGUGACCCAUCUCUGCAGAGCUUUGUAUUCAAGGAACCCCACUGAAAUAAGUUCCCAUUCUCCAGGUGGAGAAGCCUAAGUCUGGAGCUCCCCCUGAAGCCCGGGGCUGUUAGAAAGCGAGUGUGUAGGUCCACAUCCGGUCACAUGCCAAUCUUCAAGCAGAACUGUAGUUAAGUCUCCUUACGAGAUCGACCCUGAGCCUGCCUAGUUUCUAUCCAUUCCAAUGCCACAAGCCAAAAAGUAUCUUAAAAAACUCAUUACAUUUUAAAUACUGAAAAUGAGAUGCAAAAUUUACAAACAAAGCUAUCUUCUAGGACAGAGGCGUGACGACACUCUGGUACCUGCGGCCACCAAACUGGGGGUCUCCUA